CCUUGACGGUACUUAAUGAAUAAGCCCCGGCUAAUUAUGUGCCAGCAGCCGCGGUAAUACAUAAGGGGCGAGCGUUAUCCGGAAUUAUUGGGCGUAAAGGGUGCGUAGGCGGUUUAAUAAGUCUAUAGUUUAAUUUCAGUGCUUAACGCUGUUGUGCUAUAGAAACUGUUUUACUAGAGUGAGUUAGAGGCAAGCGGAAUUCCAUGUGUAGCGGUAAAAUGCGUAAAUAUAUGGAGGAACACCAGAGGCGUAGGCGGCUUGCUGGGACUUUACUGACGCUGAGGCACGAAAGCGUGGGGAGCAAACAGGAUUAGAUACCCUGGUAGUCCACNCCGUAAACGAUGAGUACUAAGUGUCGGGUAAAACCGGUACUGAAGUUAACACAUUAAGUACUCCGCCUGAGUAGUACGUACGCAAGUAUGAAACUUAAAGGAAUUGACGGGACUCCGCACAAGCGGUGGAUCAUGUUGUUUAAUUCGAAGAUACACGAAAAACCUUACCAGGUCUUGACAUUUUCUUGCGAAGUUAUAGAAAUAUAAUGGAGGUUAUCAGGAAAACAGGUGGUGCAUGGUUGUCGUCAGCUCGUGUCGUGAGAUGUUAGGUUAAGUCCUAAAACGAGCGCAACCCUUGUCGUUAAUUGCCAGCAUGUAAUGAUGGGGACUUUAACGAGACUGCCAAUGAAAAAUUGGAGGAAGGUGGGGAUUACGUCAAAUCAUCAUGCCCCUUAUGAUCUGGGCUACAAACGUGAUACAAUGGUUGAUACAAAGAGUAGCUGAAACGCGAGUUCUUAGCCAAUCUCACAAAAUCA
rnacentral:rRNA from 1 species